rnacentral:piRNA from 1 species
UUCCUCCAACUCUUAGAACCCCAUC